UACGAAGGGGGCUAGCGUUGCUCGGAAUCACUGGGCGUAAAGGGUGCGUAGGCGGGUCUUUAAGUCAGGGGUGAAAUCCUGGAGCUCAACUCCAGAACUGCCUUUGAUACUGAAGAUCUUGAGUUCGGGAGAGGUGAGUGGAACUGCGAGUGUAGAGGUGAAAUUCGUAGAUAUUCGCAAGAACACCAGUGGCGAAGGCGGCUCACUGGCUCAUAUCUGACGCUCAGGCGCGACAGCGUGGGGAUCAAACAGG
rnacentral:rRNA from 1 species